UCUGGUAAGAAGGGAAUUUCCUUCCUUAAGUAGGUCUGGCAAAGAGGAAAGAAUUUGAAAGAUGUCACAUACCUUGGGUUGCACCCUGCAUGUCCAAGAAACGAGGGACGGUCCCUUCUGCGAUGUGUGCCAUGCCCCCAUUCCUUCUGUGGAGUCAGCUGCCUCUUAUCUGACCGUUGUCUAGUCUGUGGCUCUUCCUCCUGUCUCCCAAGGUCAUUCCUACAUACCACUACACAAGAGAAUCUACUUGAUUGACAAGCGAGACAUCUGUCUUGGAGCUGAAGAAUGAUCACAUCCCACUAUCCGUAUCCUUGAGUUAUAGGUGAAGACACAGGAAGACCCUCAUGGAUUGCCAUUAAUGUCAAAUUGGCCCAAUGGCUGCCCUGAUUUGUAACCUAGCAUAGAAUAUUGAUGCCUUUCCCUUCAUCUUAAUAAACAUACCAGAAAAAUCUAUGGCAAGUAGAGCAUUGAAUGUG